rnacentral:rRNA from 1 species
AGUUUGAUCCUGGCUCAGGAUGAACGCUGGCGGCGUGCCUAACACAUGCAAGUCGAACGAAGCACUUAUCUUUGAUUCUUCGGAUGAAGAGAUAUUUGACUGAGUGGCGGACGGGUGAGUAACGCGUGGGUAACCUGCCUCAUACAGGGGGAUAACAGUUAGAAAUGACUGCUAAUACCGCAUAAGCGCACGGAAUCGCAUGAUUCAGUGUGAAAAGCCGAGACGGUAUGAGAUGGACCCGCGUCUGAUUAGGUAGUUGGUGAGGUAACGGCCCACCAAGCCGACGAUCAGUAGCCGACCUGAGAGGGUGACCGGCCACAUUGGGACUGAGACACGGCCCAAACUCCUACGGGAGGCAGCAGUGGGGAAUAUUGCACAAUGGGGGAAACCCUGAUGCAGCGACGCCGCGUGAAGGAAGAAGUAUUUCGGUAUGUAAACUUCUAUCAGCAGGGAAGAAAAUGACGGUACCUGACUAAGAAGCCCCGGCUAACUACGUGCC